ensembl:snRNA U4 U4 spliceosomal RNA
AGCUUUGUGCAGUGGUAGUAUCAUAGUCAAUGAGGUUUAUCCAAGGCACGAUUAUUGGUAAUUAAAGCCCAGAUCUCACUCUGCCAUAAAGCCUGAUGUGAUCUCUACCUCCAAAUGAGAAUACUUCCUCCUUGGAA